rnacentral:rRNA from 1 species
AAUGAACGCUGGCGGCGUGCUUAACACAUGCAAGUCGAGCGCGAAAGGGGGCUUCGGGCCCCUGAGUAGAGCGGCGGACGGGUGAGUAACACGUGGGCAACCUACCUCCGGGUGGGGAAUAACUUCGGGAAACCGGGGCUAAUUCCGCAUAACAUUUCGGGUUCACAAGGACCUGUAAUCAAAGCUGGGGACCCUUCGGGGCCUGGCGCCUGGUGAGGGGCCCGCGGCCGAUUAGCUUGUUGGUGAGGUAAUGGCUCACCAAGGCUGCGAUCGGUAGCCGGCCUGAGAGGGCGGACGGCCACACUGGGACUGAGACACGGCCCAGACUCCUACGGGAGGCAGCAGUGGGGAAUUUUUGUCAAUGGGGGAAACCCUGAACAAGCAACGCCGCGUGGAGGAUGAAGGCCUUCGGGUCGUAAACUCCUGUCGGAGGGGACGAAAGCGGUUGAGGUUAAUACCCUCAGUCGUUGACGGUACCCUAUGAGGAAGCCCCGGCUAACUCCGUG